GGUCGGUUAGCUCAGUUGGCAGAGCAUCGCAAUUACAUGUUACAUGUAUCCUCUAAGAUAAGGAGUAAGAAGUACUGCGAAGGCUAUAGGUUCAAGCCCUAUACUGACCA